rnacentral:rRNA from 1 species
UCUCCUGGAAAACGGGUGGUAAUGCCGGAUGUUCCACAUGAUCGCAUGUGAUUGUGGGAAAGAUUCUAUCGGCGUGGGAUGGGGUCGCGUCCUAUCAGCUUGUUGGUGAGGUAACGGCUCACCAAGGCUUCGACGGGUAGCCGGCCUGAGAGGGCGACCGGCCACAUUGGGACUGAGAUACGGCCCAGACUCCUACGGGAGGCAGCAGUGGGGAAUAUUGCACAAUGGGCGCAAGCCUGAUGCAGCGACGCCGCGUGAGGGAUGGAGGCCUUCGGGUUGUAAACCUCUUUUGUUUGGGAGCAAGCCUUCGGGUGAGUGUACCUUUCGAAUAAGCGCCGGCUAACUACGUGCCAGCAGCCGCGGUAAUACGUAGGGCGCAAGCGUUAUCCGGAUUUAUUGGGCGUAAAGGGCUCGUAGGCGGCUCGUCGCGUCCGGUGUGAAAGUCCAUCGCUUAACGGUGGAUCUGCGCCGGGUACGGGCGGGCUGGAGUGCGGUAGGGGAGACUGGAAUUCCCGGUGUAACGGUGGAAUGUGUAGAUAUCGGGAAGAACACCAUC